CCCAUUCAAAUCCCUAACCCCCUUGCCUCGCCGAGACGUUUUGCUGCAACCAUGGUGCCUCCAAGAGGGAGGUCGCGCUUGCUGUCGAAAUCGCUUCCCCUCCCUGCGUGAACGAACUAGGAACAAGGAAGGAAAGGACGCCUCCUUGCUCGACGAUGAGCCUAUACUCGAAAUGUCGUUGUCGCCUCCUCGUGCCACCAGCGUUCGCGGAUUCGAACCAGGACGAAGGAGAAGAAGAGGAAAACCCAUGGACACCCGAGGCUAGGUCUGUCCGCGAGAGAGACAUAGAGGGGAAAAAAACUUGUGAUUAGGUUGGGGCUCUGUCCGUGAAGUGACAAAAAUUUGG
rnacentral:lncRNA from 1 species